GGAGGAGGCAAGCGUUGUCCGGAAUCAUUGGGGCGUAAAGAGCGCGUAGGCUGUUUUUCAAGUCAUAUGUGAAAACCUCAGGGCUUAACUUGAGGGACUGCAUAUGAAACUGGAAAACUUGAGUGCAGUAGGGGAAAGUGGAAUUCCUGGUGUAGCGGUGAAAUGCGCAGAUAUCAGGAAGAACACCGGUAGCGAAGGCGGCUUUCUGGGCUGCUACUGACGCUGAGGCGCGAAAGCUAGGGGAGCAAACAGGAUUAGAUACCCUGGUAGUCCUAGCUGUAAACGAUGGACAUUAGGUGUGGGGAGUUAUCGACGCUUUCCGUGCCGGAGCUAACGCAUUAAAUGUCCCGCCUGGGGAGUACGGUCGCAAAGACUAA
rnacentral:rRNA from 1 species